UGGUGUCUGGGCUUGUCACACCUCUCUGUGAUCAGCAGUCUGAAAUGCCUUCUAUGACUAGGUGAUAUCAACAGGAAUUAGUGGUCUAACGCUGUUCACUGAUAGAUAUAGAUAUUACCUGAGAUUGCCUGCCUGACCUUAUAAAUGUAUGUCAUUUAUAAAAAGUAGGGGACUUAGCUAACAUUUCCUUGCCUAACUGUAUCUUCAUCAGAAGAUCUAUGGCCACUCCUGCACACAGACAAGCUCACUGCUGUGAAUUUUGAAAACCCUGUGGGCUGUGAUCGCUGUGGAGGGUGUAUGCACCUUUCCCAUUCAGAAUUCAGGUUGCCUGGAUGUAGGAGCACAAGUACGGCUUUUGAAGUUUUCAAGGGCUUAUCAUUCAUGCCAUGUCUUCCUAUGUGUAACUGGCAUUACUAAUAAAAAAAAAAAACAGGGACCCAAAUCUGGCAAAUUAGUUAUUGGAUUGCUCUGUGCAUCUGUGCUAACCUACGUAUCGCCCUUCUUUGUGCAGUUGUUUGGGAGGUUAAUGGAUAAUCCUGCCCUUGUGAAUAGGAAUGUUGCCAGCAACAACAACUGGGACAAGAUUAUUGACUGUCUGAGGCAAAGCUUAGAAGAUAAUUGUUGUGUUUAAAUGCUAAUUCUAUAGUAUUAUCCCAGUAACUUGUUGAUGCAUCUAAGAGUUGCUUGAUGUCUAUCUAUACACACCCACACAUGUGCACACACUUGCCUGUGGGAAUUCACAUGCUUCUGCUGAUAUGUAUGCAAAAGAUUUGCUGUGUUUUCUUAUUUGUAAACAGAAAAUGAUUGGAUUUAUGUCCUGAUAAAGGGAGCUAUUCCAAACACACCACCAAUUUAUGACUAUGUUCAUCUUGCAAGCUGAUCAGUUCAUCCUCGUGCACUUGCAGCCAUGGUUCAAGAUGUGGAAGAUGCAGAAAUGCCACAGGACAGGCUAAGGCUGCAUGUUACCAACCCCCCACUACAGGUACUUCUCCCAUCAGGAGAAGCAUAAGCAGACCAUUACAUCCUUCACUCAGCAGGGUUUGUAUGACAUGAGAAUUGCUACCUGCCACCCAAUGUGUCUCCUGCUGGGAGACAGGACUCUGAAGUACUGGAGCCUGGCUGUCUGCAGUCGGGGCUGCUGUACUACAUCCAAAGCAAGCUCGCCAGUCAGCAAACGCUGCAUUAAUCUUUUGGGGAGUGUUUGUUUUGCUUGUUUUGCUAGGCUGAAUUUCAAGCAACUGAUAAUGUGUUUGUGAGCAGUUCUCCUGUUGCAGCCCAUUUUUCAAAGGAAGUGCGAAGACCGAUGCUCCCAAGGUUUGGUGGAACACGGGUGUGAAGGGUUAUAUAUGAUCUCGCUUCGAUGUGUGAGCGUGCGGUGCUUUCAAGUGCAUGGUAAUAUGUCUGUGCAGGUACAUCUGGGAUAGUGGAGUUAUGGCUCUGUGUGAAGUCUGAUGAGUGUUUUUAAAAAUAUGCCUUGGUCGUGGUUCUUCUCUAUGGGCGCCAAUUCCGCUCGUGCCGCUACCUCACUGCAAGUGAGAUACGCGUUUGCUUGCUCAGUAAUAGUCAAAUUUUCAAACUGCUAAAGGAUAAACUCUGAAGCCUUCUGAGAAUUAAAUGAGAUAACCACUUUAUUGCUUAAAGGUUUAUGAGUAGAGAGAUGCCUGGAAUUUCAGGAGGAAAAUGACAAUGUAUAUGGCUUGUCACUACUUGCGGUGUCGCUGCUCUGUCCAGCUGCAUUGCUGUUGUUACAGUUCCCAUAGGCACUUAAAUCACAUCUUUCAAUAUAUUUAUGCAUUUAGUUUCUUCAAGCAAAAAGGAAUUUAAAUACCUUUUAGGAUGUGGAAAGUUCAGAUAUGAUUCCAGAGCCUCCCAGAUGUGUGGGACCUUAAAAACAAGAAACAUUUAUCAGAACUUAUUUAAGCUUACUCUCCAUUGUUAUUAACCUAAUCUUUCACCUUUUCCCAGUUGCAAUAAAGAUGAUUUCAAAGGCAGAAAUGAGAAAAAAUAUAUUUUUUCAGAUCCACCAGUUUGGGGGCCUGUUGCACACAUUUUUCUGUUUCUUUGUGGUUUUAAAUUACAUUUCUGCUCUGAAGUCAAAUCAUCCGUUAACAUGUUGGUCUGGAAGGCCCCAAAGCUGCUGCAGACCUGGCAGGCAGCAAGCAGGCUGGCUAAAUGGGGAAAGCUGUCGCUCAUCCUCGCCUGCCGCAGACACAAGUGCUGUGAGAAUUCCCCUGGUGCAGGAAAGUGUUGUGGUAUCAGACUCAACAUUUAUUGCUGUAGUAACAGGAGAGUUCCUUUAGGCUCAAAUUAACAUUAUAAAACCCCCCUUCCCCAAAUCAGCUGCUUAAAUUGGAUUUAAGGGAGGGUUUCACGCCUUGUAUUUUUCUGCGUACCUCUUUGUGAAGAGUAAUGCCAAUCCUUAUGCUCAGUCUUCAGCUGUACUGUAUGUGUGUCAUAGGGCUGGGCUUCGUAGGACAGUUGUGUCCUACCGUGUAGGAUGCUGUACAGACUGCUGCUAAUGAUAGCGGGGUUGCUGUCCAGCUCUUGGUAGUGGAAGGUCCCCAGUAUGAACAGACCACAGUGUGAGGAAUAUAAUAACAGAUGUGUGUGACGCUAUGGGAUGCAAUCCAGUGCCUACUAGAUAUAAGCACAGUUCCUCUUGCAAAACUUAUCCUCCUGAUUUUCCUGAGCAAGCUUUGACUCUUUUGUGUGUAUUCUAGAAAAAAAUAACAGAAGUUCUUUGGAAAAAACAAAAGAUUUUCAUAUGCUCUGGAAUUUCUGCAGUGAGAGUAUGCAGACUUGAGGCUAGUUACUGAGGACAGUCCAAUGUAUAGCUGAGGGUGAAAAAAUAACCAUGUCACUUCUUUGGAACCUGAUCUGAAGUUCACUGAAGUGAAUGAAAAGGCUUCUGUUGGUUUUAAGUGGAUCCAGCCUUUACACAGUGAACAGAAGACAUGUGUCUUAUCUGCUUAAAUGUGAAAAUGUUAUUGAUAAUUUAUGUUGAUAGAAAGAGCACAUGGUAACUUUCUUCCUGCAUUUAUGUAACAGGAGGCAAAAGCUUCAAGUGCACAGUAAAAAAAAAUCAAGGAUGCAGUUGCUUAUGGCCAGCACGAUGACAGUGACACAACCAGGGAUUGGGCUGUUUGAAGAAUAUUUGAUGGAAGGUAGGACAUUAGGCACAGGUUUCCCGUUACCAUCCUGCCUAAAGAUGACAGCCCACCAUUCAGGUGAGCCGUGCUUGCAGAAGCACGCCAAGCUUGCAGAAGGGGAGAUGGAUCUUACUGAAACACCUGUGUGAUGUCUUCUGAUUUUGGGUCAAGUGACACAGCAUUCAAAAGAUUUGAAGGCCAUGCUGAAGAAUAUUGCAGAGCAGGAAAGUGUGCAGGGAUAAGAUGGCUGAAGCCACUAAUCAGUAAUAAAUAUAAUGUGAUGUACAUAUGUACAGGUCCUGCUUUACAUUAAUAACUUGAUUAAAAUCAACAGACUGGCUGUGGAUUUUCACCAGUAUUAAAUCAGGUGAGAGUAAAAGAAAAAAAAUGCUUUUGCUUUUUUUUUUUUUCUUUAGGUAUGCUGACUCAAUUUGUUUGUUUCUUGGGAAUGCUGAUACAAAUAAAGAAAAUGAAUACAAAUGUCAAGACACUGGAAGAGACCAACAUCGAAAGAGAAUUCUUUUGAACUGAUGAGCUGAGAGCUGAAAUGGUAGCAGCAUCAGUCGGCGGUCAGAUAUUGUAUGCUGUAUCUCCACAUUUUUUAGCCAUCUUCGAGACUGAUGCCUUGCAUUACAUGACCAGAAAACCAAUUGCCAGAGGAAGUCCCUGGAACAACACCACUUGUUGUCAAUGAAACUUGCACCAUCACAAAGCAUCACCUCCGCUUUCCAGACACCGAGUCUCCAGACAAUUAACUCACGUCUGCUGUUACUACGUUGUUUCUCUCACACUUCUCCUGGAUAUGUAUGAAACUGUCGAGCUGAAUUACACUUUAUAAGGUGAUAGGGAAAAGAUCUAACAUCUAUUUUUCCCUCUUGCAGAUUUUAUAGUGUGGGGGACGCUAAUUUUUACAGCCUAAAAACCAACCAAACAAAAGAAGUUCUGCUGCUCCUGAACUGACAUCUUCCAGGAUUUGCUCAAGAGUUCCCGUUCAGAGAUGCGUGCUGGCAAGUUGCAAUACCACUGAGAACGGGAGGUCCGGAGCUGCAGCAGGAAUGUGUUUGUGGUGGAUGGGGGAUCUUAAGCAUGUAUGCACUUGAAAUAUCUGAAUGUUUCUGAUGAAGAAAACCCCAAGGACCUUAACCUCAUGUCAAAGACAAACCCCCAGUAUGACUUUCUAGAGAAUGCUCUUCCCUCAGCUGAAGCAAAUCAACUCUGGGAUUGAUGUAAGUGAGUAUAUACCUUACAAAAUGCUACUAUUCCUCUAAAAAUUAUUUUAUCAGUGAAAGCACAUAGCUGUAUGGGGCACUACUUUUCAGCUGACUGGCUGGUGGGAGAGAGGAAGCCAUUUGGCGAAUCAGACCAGACCAAAUGGCAUUCAUUUGGUUAAUCACCAGCUAUUAAAAUAGCAUCAAAUCAUAGCAACCUAUUUGUUUAUCAUUCAGGGCACAAUUUUCUGCACAGUAUAUUCAUAACUGCUGUACCCAAGCUAAUUUUAAACGAGCCAACAAAGCCGUUUUUCAGCACUCUCCUGGGAAAUGGAUCUGUAGACUGAUCGAUCUCACUGCUUCUGGGGCUAAGGCCCCACAAAAUCAGAGCUGAUGACAUUGGCGUUUAACUAUGAAAAGAACCGAUGCUUGUUUUAGAGACAUUUUUAAAGCAUUGCGUGGUUUUAGAUUUUUGCAUUACUCCAAGGUCCAUUUGACUUGCAGUGUCUCCAAGCAGGCCACAUCAACCAUGUUCUCUCUAAGCAUGAGUGUUCAGGCACCACUGCAGACCACUUUGUGAUUCCUAUUAGAGACAACAGUCAUCAGUUCCUUGGUGGUUCCUCUCUUUUUCACCCUGAAUUCAGCAAACGAUGAAAUUCCUUUUCUUCAGCUCAGGAAUAUAACAGUAACUUCGAUCUUGGUCCUCAAAGCACUGACCUGUUCCUGAGGGCUGACACCUCGCUGCUGGAGUACAAGCCCUCAAUAAUUAAGGGAAGCAGAACACUAGGAGAGUGGUCUGUGCAAUGAUUAAACCAAUUGAUUUUAGCACUGAGGUAAAAAAUGGAUGAGUAGCACCUUCCCCAAAUACUUUUUUCAUAUAAGUAAAUAAGUGCAGAGUUCAAAAUCUCUUUUCUGCUGCAGUUGGUGGCCUCCUAAUCUAGCUUCCUCACUCCUAACAUACCUGCAGAGAAACUAGGACAAGUUUUGGCUUUGCUGGCAGACCUGUUGUGCAGAUUCCUAUGAUGUUCAUGCUGUCAGUACCGGCGAAAUAGGUGUGUGCUUAUUUUUAGGGUGCAAUAGGAUAUGAUGAAACCUCAGAGCCGUAUUAAGGCUAGCUGAAUCGUUGGCUUGACAUUUCAUGCUGCACGUCAGUUGAUUGGUCAUUUUAUCACCAGUUAUGAAGUGAAAUUAGAUAAUCUCAAUGCCAUAUGGUAUACGGUAUUUAUAGUUUAGUAUGUUUUCCAUAUAUGUGUGCUAAAGCCUGCUUCAGGGAUUUGUUACGGUCCUUGUGUUUACAGGAUCCGGGUCUUGGGUGAAAGAAGAAAUUGACAGUUGCUAAUGUUUGACUUAAACUGAUACAUUGGAGGCCACAUGGGUGAUCCCUAAUUAAAGUCAAUUCACACUUUCCAUCCUUCGCCAGGGAGGCUGUCAGGUCUCCCUGGGACCAGACCCCAAGUCCACCCAGCUCCAUUACCUCCAGCAGCAAUUGGGAGCAAGCAUCCCCCAUCAGUGAACCUCCACCCCAUCUCCUCUCCCAGACAGCCAUGAGCAUGCGGUGUCUCCUCCAGGUCUCUGACACAGGUGGGCUUCCACCUGAAGCAUCCCUACAAGGAUUAUUGUCAGCAUUGGGUUUAACUUCAGAAAUUCUUGCCUUCCAUCAAAAUGCUUCGUUCCCCUUGAAAUCUUGAUAAAUAAGGAGCUACAGGAUUAAUUAUGUGGGACAUUAGUCACUCAAUAUGUGUCAUUAUUUUCUCAAAACAAGACUAAAUGAAUGCCACAGAAGGGUCUUACAGAGAUCUGCUUUUGGAGCUGACUCAAAUGAGAUCAAAUAGAAGCAUCUUCUCAACCCCAAACAUCAGUUGCCUGGUACAGGUACCUACCCUGGGGACCCUAGUGAGCUGUAUGAUGUGAAUACCCUUAAUACAAAUAACUUCUUGACUGUUUCUCAUCAAAAAAGAUCCCUGUGCAUAUCUUCAGAUCCAGUACAAGCAGCAGGAAAGCUCGGGUAAGCUUUAGAGCAGAUGUGUUGGUUUGCUUGAGACCCAAGUCCCAGUCCUCAUCCCUGACUCUGAUGCCAUGUCUUGGUUACUCAACAUUGUUGUAAUGGCAGACAACAGAAACUGGCUGAGAGUGGACCAUUUUUUUUAUUUUUUUUUAAUGAUAAAUAGUAAUAACAAUCAACAAACCCUGAGAGAGGAAAAGUGAUGUUCAAUUGCCCCAUAAGAACCCUGUGAGCACUGGAACAAAGAGGAGUUAAUAAAUGAUACAGUCAGGUUUUUUGGAUGGGAUUCUUGCAGAAUAUGAUUUCAUAAUCCGCUGUCUCUAGUGAACAACAAGACCUCUGUAAACACUCAAUAUUCAAACAGAAAUUUGUUUCUUGUAGGCUUCCAUGGCACAAAAUAAAAGCUCUGUAAAUCUGGGCCUCCAUAUGUGGUUCUCAGCUGGUGUAAGUCCCUGAAUGAAUUACAUGUGAACAGAGAAAUUAAUGCUACACACAUGGUGGCCAAACUUGAAAGCAAAAAUUGCAACUGAGAAUAUGCUGCAGUGGAUUGUGAAAUAUUUGAAGAUAAAUGGAAGCUUGAGUCCUUGCUGAUAUAAUGCAUCAAUGAUGCAUUUCAAGGGAUACACAACCAUCACAGCAAGUUAUUACAAUACUGAGAUCAUAUCUGGGAGAGCACAAGGACUCGCGCAUUAAAAUCAAAGACUGAAUUUAAUCAGAAUGCAAAAAGGUAAGUUUGUAACAUUGGCUCUUUACUGUGAUUUGGAACAAAAAGUAAUUGGGUAAAAAAAUUGGCUUGCUCUUUUUAAAGAAUCCCACAAUUUACCGUUGCAAUAAAUGUGUGUCCCAUCUAGUUUUUGAAAUGAUUGUUUUCUAAAGCUGCUUUUGUUAAUCUGUAAAUGUUGAUGACAAAUUACCCAAGAGUUUUUGUACUUUUGAAGCAGUUGCAAUCUUUUUGUUACAGUUUUUUCAACCCUCUGUAGGCAGGGGAGGAGAAAAGAAUGUGCAUGUUCCAGUGAAUUCUAAAUGAGGGCUGUGCCUCCCCUGUUUGUAAAAAGCCAAGCAAAGCAGUAAAAAUAAUAAAUAAAACAAAUGAAACCCUCUUUAAUCCAUUCAUGAGCUUGAGUGUUUCAAGUAGACCAUAAUAUUAAGACAAAGAGUUCUGAGAGAGAUGGAUCAGAGGAAAGGGCUAUUGCUUAAACAAUGUCAGCCUAUUUAAUUA